CCCUUAAAUAUCUUAUUUCGACAUUGUGAAGCACCUUGCUGGUCUAAUAAAUAGGUCAUUGAAUUUGAUUUUUAUCCUCUUAGAUGAGUACCGAACUAACUGCUUCUGUUGAAGUUACCAAAUAAAGAUACAAAAUUUCUCCGACCUUUGGUUUUGUAAAUAACAGUGGAGAUGUCAGAUAUCUUUUUAGAUCUUCAAAGGAUUGUCGGCACUCGUCUGACCAUGUAAAAUUUUUUGUUUGUCUCAAGAUCU
rnacentral:lncRNA from 1 species